rnacentral:rRNA from 1 species
AUUGACUUGGACAAUAAAAUAAUUAU